rnacentral:lncRNA from 1 species
CAGUGCAGUGUGUGGGGUAUUGAAGGUUAGCAAACUCAGAGGUUGUUGAGUAUGUGGUACUUUUUUCAGAAAUUCUUUUUGCAACAGCUGCAAGUCUCCCAUUUUCUUUAUUCUGACAUAAAGUGUAUGUUGGGGUUACUUUUUCUAGCUCUGCUGUCCUUAAUAUAGCAAAAAACAACACUACAUUCAACCAGUUUUUAUCAUAAUACAUUUGGAAAGUGUACAGCUUCUGAACGCAAACACACCCUUGGUUCUGACUGUUGGACGUGGACGUCCUGUGAUGAUGACAUAUUUGGCUACAAGACAGAACCACAGUACUCAGUCAUUAGGAGAGAGUAGGGUUAUGAGAAUCUAUCGUCUGAGGCUGCAGCAAUAUCCUUCGAUUCAAGGACUCUACCUGAAACGAUACAAGAUCACCGGUGAAGUGCAGCCAGUGGAACGGAAGAAGUAUUCCUCACUAUCGGCAGACUGUCACAACACAAUUUCUAAUAGUUAUCUAUGUGGGACUGAUACCAGUGAGGAAGAGCUGGUCACUUUUAAAGGACUUGGACCUGAACCCUAAGACCAUGCCUCAGGACUACCUGGCAUGAUGACUCCUUGUUGUCCCCAGUCCACCUGGCCGUGCUGCUGCUCCAGUUUCAACUGUUCUGCCUGCGACUAUGGAACCCUGACCUGUUCACUGUGAUUACUAUUAUUUGACCAUGCUCGUCAUUUAUGAACAUUUGAACAUCUUGGCCAUGUUCUGUUAUAAUCUCCACCCGGCACAGCCAGAAGAGGACUGGCCACCCCUCAUAGCCUUUCUAGGGAGUUUUUCCUAGCCACCGUGCUUCUACACCUGUAUUGCUUGCUGUUUGGGGUUUUAGGCUGGGUUUCUGUACAGCACUUUGAUAUAUCAGCUGAUGUAAGAAGGGCUAUAUAAAUACAUUUGAUUUGAUAAUAAUCCUGCAGCAAUAGGAAAUGUGAAUUAUUAUGUGGAUUAUAAUUAAUGGACAUUUGUGUAGGGGUUGAUACAUUUUUAAUAAGGGAAAAGCAAGUCUGAAAUUUAAAAGUGGAAAUUACAAACUUCAGAAGCCUUUUUCAACCAAAUACAUUACAAGUUUUACAUUUCCUGCAUUCCAGGAAAGUUCUCCUGCAACAGGCUGAUCAAAUUAAGAUCCUACAUCUGUACAUGAACCAUACUUGUCAUAACAAAGACAAAUGUUCCUG